rnacentral:lncRNA from 1 species
AAGGAUCCAUCCGUCAUCCUUCUUAUUUGAUUUGUUUUCAUUUUGCAUAUCAUUUAGUUUGAAUCAUAAAAAUCCAUAAAAAUCAUAUAUGCUUCAGUUUAUCAUUUCUCAUUUAGUUUACUUUAUGUUCUUCAUAUUUAAACCAUAAGAACUCAUAAAAAGGUUUUUCAUUUGUCUCAGGUACAAAUCGGCCGAUCCAUUCUUCCAUCGCAGCCGCAUAGCCGAUCGUCUGUCCGUCUGUCCAGUCCGAUCCAAACCAAACCUCAGUCAUG